GGGGUUUUAGCUCAGCUGGGAGAGCGUCAGACUGAAGCUCAGGCAAAAUCUGAAGGUCGCGUGUUCAAUCCACGCAGACCCCA
rnacentral:tRNA from 1 species